rnacentral:rRNA from 1 species
GACGAACGCUGGCGGCGUGCCUAAUACAUGCAAGUAGAACGCUGAAGAGAGGAGCUUACUCUUCUUGGAUGAGUUGCGAACGGGUGAGUAACGCGUAGGUAACCUGCCUUGUAGCGGGGGAUAACUAUUGGAAACGAUAGCUAAUACCGCAUAACAAUGGAUGACACAUGUCAUUUAUUUGAAAGGGGCAAUUGCUCCACUACAAGAUGGACCUGCGUUGUAUUAGCUAGUAGGUGAGGUAAUGGCUCACCUAGGCGACGAUACAUAGCCGACCUGAGAGGGUGAUCGGCCACACCGGGACUGAGACACGGCCCAGACUCCUACGCGAGGCAGCAGUAGGGAAUCUUCGGCAAUGGGGGCAACCCUGACCGAGCAACGCCGCGUGAGUGAAGAAGGUUUUCGGAUCGUAAAGCUCUGUUGUAAGUCAAGAACGGGUGUGAGAGUGGAAAGUUCACACUGUGACGGUAGCUUACCAGAAAGGGCCGGCUAACUACGUG